GGUCCCGUGGCGCAAGGUAGUGCGCCGUUGCUGGGUAUUCCCCAGUAGACGGAGGUCCUUGUUCGAAUCAAGGUCGGAUCA